CGCCAUCCAACUCAACAGGGUUCUAAAAUAGUCAAUGAGAAAAAGCAGUUACAUUCUGCCAUGAAUGAGUAAAAAUGAAACAGAGGCACUAUUUUCCAAUUAUUGCAUAACUCAACUAUUAAGAAGAUAGGCUAGGAUUCAAAAGCCAAGAACCCAUAUGCGUUUGCUAAGUGAAAAAGAGCAACAUAAAAACCAUUUCCUUUGCUCCACCCUCCCCAAUCCAAUAAGGGAUUAAAAAAAACCCUCUUGAUGUGUGUGUUUGUUGGUCACAAGGGAAGCAUAAUCAAAUUUCUGCUAGAAACUCUAAUAAGCUAAGAAUAAGAAAACUACAAAAUUCUCAAUUAUACCGGGCACAAUUAAUCUAUUUUACUAGAACUCAUCUUUCCUCAAAUAAGGAGUUGCAGAAACAGCUAAAUUUUCUCUGUGCCCAAGGUUUCAAAUAAUGGUUAUUACCAUUUCAGUUUGUUAUUUUUCCCCUCAAAGAAGACGAGGGCAGAGACACAGUAAUUCUGCGUGUGUAAAAAAGGAAGAAAUAGGCUGUGAGAGAGAUAAGAGAAGCAUGCUCGUGUUUGUCAUUUUUUUUUCUUCUUUUCUUAUUUGUCUAUUUUCUUUUUCUAUGGCUCAACACAAUCUUUUAGUUUUUUUUUAUUUUUUUAUUGCACUAUUGCCCAUUUGUUUAUAAACAAGACUAUGUGUAUGCUUGCCACAAUUACACAGGCUGUUGUUAAAUUUUUGUGUUUAAUAAAAUAGCACAUUAAUUAUAACUAUAUAACUUCUUUCCAAUAAAUACUUGUUUUAGGUGUUUGUAACACUAGCCGAUGCGCUUUUUUUCCAAAAAAAAAAUUGUCUUUCAAAAAACAAAACACCAAAAGGGGGUUAUAUUACAAAUAUUUACUAAAGAAGGGUGAACUUGGCUGAGUUGAAGGAGAGAGGGAAGCAGAUGCUAGUUAUAAUAGCAUCCAACAAGUGAAAAAUACAAAAAAAUAACACAAUUAUUGAAUAGUCAAAAAAGGAAUAAAACAAGAGCAAGUCACUUGCAUGGGUAGCGUCUAGCUCCCCACUUGCAACUUUGGAAUGCGUCCCAUGUUGGAGGCUACUCAUGAUAGCACCCAGUGUUGGACAUACUCAUGGUAGCAUCUGGCAUUUUGAAAAAAAAAAAUUAAUUUGUAAUAUUAUUAUGAAUGAAAAUUUGUAACUUGUAAUAUUACUCAUAAUAAAUUUAUAAGUACAUAAAUUUUUUCUGUCAAUAUUAAAUAUUAUCAAAAUUUUUAAGUAUAAUUUUUUUAUGACAUUUUUGUCAAUUAUUAAAAUGUUAUAUUAUGACAAAAUUAUUGUGAAAAUAUUAAAUUAGGACAAUUUGUGGAAUAUAUAAUUUUAAUUUUUAGUGUGUGUGUGUGUGCGCGUGUGUA
rnacentral:misc_RNA from 1 species